AUGCUCUCUUACGCGGCACAAACAUAUAAAAUUGGAAUGAUAAAGAGAAAAUUAGCAUGGCCCCAGCGCUAGGAUGGUACACAAAUUCAUGAAGCAUUCCAUAUUUUU
ensembl:snRNA U6 U6 spliceosomal RNA